GCGACCCCAGGUCAGGCGGGGCCACCCGCUGAUUU
rnacentral:rRNA from 1 species